ACGAAGGAGAGAGGGAGUAUGCUUGAGUUCUCGGGCUGUCCACUCUAGGGUUAAUUUUCUCGCUGCUCUCUCGAGCUCGCUUGGUGCAGGUCGGGAACCGCCUUGGGACCGUCCGAUCUCCGGGAGACCCGAUCAGGUACGUUCGUUCGAUGGGGCCGGUUCCCGACUUGCAUCAACUGAAUUCGAGAACCCUCAGCGAAAGGCCGCGCCUCUCUUCCCCUCCUCUUCUCGGAGAUCGAAUCUUCUGCAAUUUAUAAAGAUAGAGAAGGCCCUUUGCAAUUCCUGCAACUAUAUGAUGAUGUCUCCUCCAGCUGAGAACAUUUGUUUGGAUCUGGCAGUUGUAUUGUUGGCAGUGGAUUGUCAGGCUUUUAUUUGCUAGGUGUUCAUAGACCGGCGGCUUUUCUUACCUUUUGAUGCAACAAACCAACAUUCUAACAAGAUUCCUGUGCUGAAGUUUUGCAGUUAGUUUCGUCUUGUUCUUUAACUCAGCAGCUCCUUGUUUGGAUUUUGCUGAUAGGCUUUUAACUGCAGUUUCUUUUCCAUUAUUCGAUGUACCUGAAAGAUUAUUCACAAAUAAUCCUCUUAUCAGAAUAUAUGGAAAGUUCCUCAAAUUAAAAGGAUGUCCAUAUACCUUGUAAACUGGGUCAAAUCCAUCUUCACCAAGCUCAUUUACGCUAGAGAAGUUACUGGGCUGCUUGGAUGACAGCCAUAUCCAUAGAAGGUAGUAAGUCUUUGCUAGCUAGAGGCCUGAAAUCAUCUAGCAUGGCUUUUCUCCAGUAUGAAGAAACAUGGAUGCACAUUAUAUAUUUUCAAACAGAAACUUAUCAAUAUUAAACACAUGAGCAAUUGCUUACUGCUUCUCUUUCUCUGUCUCCAUUUAAAGCAAAGAAAAAGAACCAAGAGAUUUGCCCCUAAAGUUGGUGUAACAAUAAAACCAACAUGAACUUCUGAUGAUUUCCCUUUUUCCUCUGCUGUUCAAUACAUAGCUUCUCAUGGGUCUUGAAUUAAAUUUUCCAACACAAUACUUUGUAUUAAUUUAUAGAUUAUGCUAUUUGCUUAUGCCUGAUAAUUCUCUGAUUAUACUUGUGACUGAAAAAUCUUCCGAGUUGAAUGAACACUAGGCUAGUUCAACAUAAGACCUCUGUAUUCAAAUUCAAAGAUUAUAUAUCAGUUGUAUGAUCAUCAUUGCAAUGGUAAAACCUAUCAUGUGCAUUAAAUUUGUUGACCACCACAUAGAGCAAAGGUCAUAUAUUGUUCAUUGAGUUACGGUACAUGACUGUUGAUCAUUUUGCACUGAUACUCAACUUUUGAUUGUCUAUUUGAUUCUAUUUGGAAACAACAUCAACUGUUUCAGAAAUGACGUGUGAUUAAAUUAUGUUCUACCACACCUGAUGCUAGAAUGAAUAAUCUUCUUUUUGGCUGGAUAGAAAUGAUAUGUUCAGAGUCUUGACAAUCACGGAAAGUUAUUUGAUACCUUCUUAUAUCAGCAUUGCUUAAAUCUGGAUCAUGACUCGCCAGUCUUUAUGAAGAGAGAGAAGGUUGAUUCACCAACAAUGUGAAUCAUGUCAAUGAGAAAAAUCAUCAAAAUACCACAUUCUGUCGGCCCAGCCAUUGCUUUCAAGGUGAAAAGCCCACCAUGGUAAUUGUCAUCAACAGCAGAUUUUUGCAGCCCUUCUAACAUCAACAGGAGUAAUUGUCAUCUCAUUGAUUGAGUGAAUAGUUGUUGAAUGAGUUUUGGUGCUAGAUGAUGACAGAUGUGACACAGCAGUUCUCUCUUAUAAAAGUUGGGGGUUGUGUUGGUUGGGGAAGCACCAUUUGCUCGCCUCACAGAAUCAUUACAACUGGAGACAUGCUAGUCCUUUCUCUGGAUUUUCCUAGACACAGCAACCUUAUAUUGAUACAUUUGAUUGCUUCCCCUGUUGAACAGGGACCAUCAAGCAAUGGAUCCAUCAACACCAUCUCUCUGGCUUCAUUCCACAGUUGCCAUGCCUGUUGCAAUGCAAUAUAGAGUAGUAAACUGAUAUUAUUGCAGAAACUUGUAAUAUGAGAAGUAAGUGCAUCUUUUAACUUCAUUUCAAAAAUACUAAUAGCUUACGCAA